UUUUUUUUUUUUUUUUUUUUUUUUUUUGAGACAGAGUCUCGCUCUGUCGCCCAGGCUGGAGUGCAGUGGCGCGAUCUCAGCUCACUGCAAGCUCUGCCUCACGGGAUCACGCCAUUCUCCUGCUUCAGCCUCCCGAGUAGCUGGGACUACAGGCGCUCACCACCACGCCUGGCUAAUUUUUUUGUAAUUUUAGUAGAGACAGGGUUUCACUGUGUUAGCCAGGAUGGUCUCGAUCUCCUGACCUCGUGAUCCACCUACCUUGGCCUCCCAAAGUGCUGGGAUUACAGGCGUGAGCCACUGCGCCCGGCCAGAGGCAGGUCUUAAAACUAGCAACUGGGUGAGAAAUCAGUGGGGAGGGUAGGCUUUGACAAAGUAAGAGAUAAAGAGUCUGCUUUCAUAUUUUAGAAAAACCCAGGGAAUGCUGAAAAGCCCAUAGGAAAGAAGAAAUAUGCUGUCAAGAUGUUAGUGAGCCAAGGCCCAGGAGUUUGCUCUCAAAAACAGAUGAGAAACUGGACUUAAAAUCUGACUGGGAGAAAGUACUUUAGGCAAAACAAACUACUCAUAUACAAAAGGAUGGGCUCUGAAGCAGAGAGUGAAGGCAAUAGCUUCAAGAUCGGUGGAUUUAAAACCUAGAAGUAUCUUCUCUAAAAGAUAAAAGAUUAAGAAAGGCUUUAAGAUAGCUAGAGCAGGAAUAAAGUAGUCAAGUGAAUGUGAUACCACAAGGUUCCAGAAGUUUCCAUACUAAUAGAAACAGAUACUAAGUGAAGUUUGAGGGGCCCUCACAAUCUGGAUAGAAAACUCUUCAAGUAGAUCUCAACCUUCAGGCUGGAAUAUCUUUGCUUAGCUAUCCCAGCCAGAGGACCAUAGUGGUUGAUUUCAAAAGGAGUUGCAAUUAUUCUAUCUUGUAAAUUCUCUCAUUGUUAAGUUUUGUCACAGUUUGUUGUUGCUACUUUCUUUCAGUUACCUAGAAAAUGUUUUCUCUGAAAACCUCUAUCCAUGCCUCAACAGAUCGGAGAUAAAAAAGGAAUCAUCUUACAAGAUUAUCAAGAAAGAUAAUGGGCUAGGUGUAUCCUUAAAAGGUCAUUCAAAUGAAAUAUUAAAAUUCUUACUUUUCUGUGUUAUUCGGACAUGGAAUAACAAUAACAGUUAAUGUUUAUUUGGUGCUUACUCUGUAUUUGGUACCAUUUCAAGAGUUUUAUAUGCAUUAUUUGAUCUUAAAAAACAACUCUUUGAGGAAGUUACUACUGUCUCCAUUUUAUCAGUGAAUGAACAGAGAUAGGAAGUCUGGCUCCAAAGCCCACACUCUUAACUAUUAUGCAAUAUUAGUUGUCAAAUGUCUUGAAAAAAAAAUCUGUGUAAUUACUAAAAUAUUACGCUGGGCUACUUAUUAAGGUAAAAUUACGUUUCAAAAAAAUUAAUCCUUUCCAAAUGCAAUGUUAACUAUUCAUGAUGAAAUAUCAGAACUAUCUCUAAUACCAAUAUUUUUAUUGGAAUAAAAUAGGAGGUUAAAGGAAAUGUUUAUAUAUAUAAAUGUGUGUAUAUAUAUGUAUAUACAUAUAUAUAUACUAUGCACACACACACAUACAUAUCUAUGUGUAUAUAUAUGAUUUUUUGCAAGGGCAAAAACCAGAUUUUUUUUAAACACAUAAUCAUUAAAUCUGCAAAUAUCAAGUUUAUCAAUUUUUUGUUACAGGAAAAAAUAGUUUAUUAUAAAUUCAAUGCAUAGCAUUUUCUGGUUUAGACCUUUCCAUUAUUGUUCUGACAGAACAAAGACUAUGAGGUUGUCAGAAAUAAAUUGUUCAUUUUGUUUCCUAAAUAUGUGGCAAAGACAUUGUAUGUUUUUUGUUUGUUUGCUUGUUUGUUUGUUUUAGAAUAGUUUGAAAUGUCUUCAAACCUUUUGACCAACCAAGAAAGCUUUUGCCUGGGCACAGGCUUUAUCUUUCUUAGCAUUACACUAGAGAUACUAAUCCCUCCCAACAAUUUCAUUAUGAUUAUCGCAAUAAAAUAUAACGAUCCAUUAAGUCCAUGGGGCAGAUGUUUAUUUAUUUAUAACCAUGCCUUAUUCCACAGAGAAUUUAAAGAGGAAUAAAAGAUUAUUUCCUCAUUGCAUCAAAUGAAUAUCUUUUAUUUUGUCUAAUGUUGUAUUUCUUUUUCUUUAAUUGGCACUAAAUGUUUAUUUGCAUUCUUUUAAUUACUUUUAAGGCAUCCAUUAUUUCUGGAUUACAUUACUGAACUCUCAAUAAAUCAAUACAUAGUUCUGUAUAUAAUUUUUUCAACAUUUUUUCCUUCUUUAAUUUGGUUCAUUUGUAUCUCCCUUUGCUGUUUAUUGAGUAGAAAUUCUGAUUUUUGUAGCAAAGGGAGAACAAACAAACAACACACAGAAUAUUCUGUAUUUAAUGCUGCAAUUGUCUCUAUGGUUGCAAUGUGUAGGUGGGGUGCAUUCAAGUGGGCUUGUGGUAUUUGUGUGUGUGUGUGUGUGUAUGUGUGUGUGUGUGUUGGAAGAAUAUAUAUUGAGGAUGAUUCCUAAUUUUAUCACUUUGUUGAGGAACUGAAAUUGUGGCUACACAUUCACUCUAAAUAUUUUGUCUCACAGUCCCCUCCCUUCAACAAUUAUAUACAGUACACUAUUUGUUGGAAGCUCAGGAGAAAAAGGGCAUUUAAGAGCAUGAGAUUUGGUGGCAGACUGACCUAAUAGUAGAUGGUACCAGUGAGAUCUUGAGCAACGUAAAUGUUUCAACUGAAAAACGAAAACCUUUUUUUGGAAAGAAUCGAAACUAAAAACCCAACUAUUUAAAAAAUGGAAACUUUUGGCCGGGAACGGAGGCUCACACCUAUAAUCUCAGCACUUUGGGAGGCCGAAUGGGCGGAUCACAAGGUCAAGAGAUUGAGACCAUCCUGGCCAACGUGGUGAAACUCCGUCUCUACUAAAAAUACAAAAGUUAGCUGGGCAUGGUGGCACAUGCCUGUAGUCCCAGCUACUCGGGAGGCUGAGGCAGAAGAAUCGCUGGAACCCAGGAGGCGGAGGUUGCAGUGAGCCGAGACAGCACCACUGCACUCCAGACUGGCGACAGAGUGAGACUCCAUCUAAAAAAAAAAAAAAGGAACCUUUUGCCUUACUUCGUUUGCUAGCUACAUUCAAGUCUGCAAUUAAGCUCGGUGUUUUGCCUUUCUCAAACUGUGCACAGGUCCUCUUGUUUGUUCCCCUUCUCUCUGUUGCCUAGGAAUACAGCCAAAAACUUGAGUAAUAGAUGAUAGAUGGGUCUGUCACUAAGCACAUCCUAGUGACAUAGAUAAGAAGCAAAUGCUACAAAAUUAUAGGUGCAAACUACAAGUUGUGUUUUAAUUGGUUUUAACAAGUACUUAUAAGCAGAAGAACUGUGAAAAAUCUAACAUUUUGUCCUACUUGCAAGCCUGCCAGUCUUUUGAGUGCUGGGCAAAGACACAAUAGUGCUGGGUCAGAGACAAUUAACUUUACUACUCACAUUAAUAGCAUUAGCAAGAGUAUCAUGAUUUUCUUGCACUGAUUCCUCAAGCCGCAAUUCCCACAGAAAAGCUCAGGUGACACCUACAUGCUCAGUGGGUUGCAUUAGAAAAGAGGAACGCAGAGCUCAGGAAACAUGGAUAUUUUAUAAUGGCCAGUAAAGAUGUCCCUUUGCUUUAGAAAGAGGCACUACCUCUAUCCAAGGCUGCAAGCACACCUGCCUUUUGUUUUAGAAGGAGAAAUGAUUUCUAUCUUCCAAGGCUGUUCACUAUAUGAAAAGACAGUCCCAAACAAAAGGCAGUUACUGACUUGCUUGAAAAAUGUGCAGAAAUGAUACGCUGCUUGAAUGUGGACAGCUGACACAGGGACAAGGAGUAAAAAUGAUUAGGUUUUGAGCUUGACCAACUAGGAAGAUAAUUAUUAGCAGUAGAGAAAAAAAGAACAAAGUAGAUUUUAGGGCAGAUAAGCCAUUUUUUAGGUAGGUUGAGUCUGAGAUGCCUCCAUAAAUAUAAGUUGAAAAUAUGAGAUUGGAGUUGAGACUUCAGAAAUACAUAUUUUGAGUAGUUACACUACAGAGGUAAGUCAUCAGAGUUCAUAAAAUUAAAGUGAGAAAAAGAGGCAAGUGAAGAAAAACAAGAUGGCAUUGCAUGAAGAACUUUCUUAGGAAGGAAGGCAGCAAAGAGGUAAAAUUGGAGGUGUAGUCAGAGAUGGAAGAUGAAAAAGGAAAAUAACAAUAUUUCAGAAAUGAAAUGAAAAAGGUCUUUUACUAAGUAAUUGGUACUACUACUUGUCAGUUUCAAGUGCUGUAAAAAAAAUGGGAAGAACCACACAUGUGCACUUUCAGUACUAUGUAUUUUAUGCUUCAGGGAUGCAUACCUGUUUAACAAAAGUAUGUUUUUUCUCAAAGUGUGUUGAAUAGUCCAGAAAAAGAUGGAGGUAGAAGUCAGACUUCAGGAGAUAAAGGAACCAGAAAGAUCAUUGAAGGCUGUGAUGGUAGAAAACAUUUUGACAAAGAGUUGUGCAAUGAGAAAGCUAGGGGUGGGACAAUUAAUUUUGAGGGUAACAAUUGGGGAUUUGAGUAGAUUUUUUGCUUCUGUUCUUUAAUUGUUUUGUCUUCUUUUUAAAGAAACCAAGAGACUGUUAAUGUAGUAGGAGCAGAGUUUCACAAUACAGAGCAGAGAGGGUGUUGGUUGAUAAAGAAUUGUCUCAAAUGAGAGGAAAAGAAUGGAGCCAAUAACAGAGAUGAUGUUUAAUUUGGGAAAGGUGGGACAUGUUAACAUGAGUCCAGAGAACUAAAAUGAGCUUAUGGCAUGCAGAUGCUGAAGAUGAAGAAAGGAAAGGAAGGAAAAGGAGGAAUUUAUAUUUAUUUAUUGAAUAAUCUUGUAAAACUGUUAAUCACCCCUUUUUACUGACGAUAAGACAUAAAUGUCAGAGGUGUUUUGCCUAAAGUAAAAAAUUCGAUAGUCAAGCUGGGUUUAAAACCAUAUCAGUCUUACGUCAAAGCAUGUUUUAAUUGCUGUUGUGUGGUUGUGAUUUUAAGGGAAGAAGAAGAGUUUUAUAAUGGGUUCUCUGAAAAAUAAAAUAUCAAUUAGAAAGAAACAAAACAACUGCUGAGAAGCAGUGAAUCCAAGCAGAAUCUGAGUAUCAUCACUUUUUAGUUAAACUAACCAGUCCAAUAUCCUGAUUUUUCUUUAACAGGCAAAGAAUUUUUGAGUCUUUCCCAUAGACUGAGUUCUUGUGAACUAUUUUACAGCAAUAAUGGCAUCCAAUCCUAUAGAUAACAAUAACAAAGCUGCAGACCAUUUUGUUGCCAGGUUUCUCCUCCAGGGUGGCUUUCCAGCUAGUUUGUAAACAAAUAACUCAGGUGGCCCUGUCAUGUUACAUUAACUAAAAACCAAGUCUAAAGCACACAUAUAAUAACAUAUGUGUGUGCAAACUGGCUUGCUUUCAAAUUCCUAAAUCAUACAAUUAAAUUUUAAAAAUAACUGUAUUUGGAAACAAGAAAAAAGUCACUUUGACACCCAACUGAUGUAUAUAAAGGAGACUGUGCAUAUGGGUUUUAAAAUGAGAUGAAAAUUGAAAUUUGAUCUUUGAGAUUAAAAACAAUGUUAUGUAAAUCUAUUUUUAUUUAAUUUUUCUGAAAAAUAUUGUAUUUGCUUUAUACCCUCUUGCUAUACAAACUUAUAUUGUUUUGCUUACCCUCUUUUUUUAUUCCUCCUACUUUUUCUUAAUUUUGAUAUCUCUGAAUUUAAAGUCUAGAGAAUGAUUCAUCUUCACUAGUUCUAUCUUUUCCAGUGCUAGUAUUUUUGUUUUUGAGCUGUGGUUUCCCUAUCCCAUUUUUGAGAUCUCAAACUAUAAUUUGGUGUCGAGUACCCAGGUAUCUUAUCUUUAAAGUGAAGACGUAGGCAGCACAAAGGUGCUUUUAUUAGAACGUCCACUAGAUCAGAAUGACCAGUGCACAAAAUUUAUUUUCCUAGCAGACUCACCAAAUUUAACCUGGAAGAGAAUGUCUGACUCUGUUGAAUUUUCUUAGGCAAAUACAAUAUUUGAAAGUCACUGAAUGUUUCAAACAAAAUAUAACAACAUUCAGAUAACAGAACUGUGUUAUUGUUCUCAUGUGUUUAUGCCCAGAAAAUAAGCAGACUGGAGCUUCUCUAAGAUUAAAAGUCAAAACAGUAUUACAAUUCCAGCCCAGAUUUGACUAUCUAAUCAUUUAAACCUUAGUAUCAUCAUCAUCACCACCGUCACUGCAUACUCAUUAAGUUAAAAAAAAUUCCUUUAAAAUAAAUGGAAAAGAAAAUAUCUGUGUAAAUAGAUUAAAGCGAUUCCUGCUCACCACUCCCUUUCUCCCUGGGGCAGGAGACUUGAGCACAUCAAAGGAACUCAUAGCGUUCUUGGAGUAAGUGUGAAAGCCACCGUGAUGAACUAAAUGAAUGCUUACAUCUAAAGAAAGAUGUAAACAUAUUACAUUAAAAGGUGGCAUGACAUAAUGGUAUAUCACUGAUUAAGAAAUGUGAGGCGACUUUCAUGUGCCACUGAUAAAUCAUUAUAAUUUGACAUAGUAGAUAAUGCCCCUAUAUUUCAUCUGCAUACCUGGAAAAUGAGGACUUUCAAAACAUAUUCCUGCCAGUUACAGUCAGGUAUUGCAAAACAAGCAUUUAGUGAGCAUCUAAACUGAAGCUUAGAACUUCAGUUUUGUGGCGGGGCGCGGUGGCUCACGCCUGUAAUCCCAGCACCUUGGGAGGCCAAGACAGGCGGAUCACUUGAGGUCAGGAGUUUGGGACCAGCCUGGCCCACAUGGUGAAACCCCAUCUCUACUAAAAAUACAAAAAUUAGCCAGGCAUGGUUGCACGCACCUGUAGUCCCAGUUACUCAGGUGGCUGAGGCAGAAGAAUCGCUUGAACCUGGGUGGUGGAGAUUGCAGUGAGCUGAGAUCCUGCCACUGCACUCCAGCCUGGGCAAGAGAGUGAGACUCCAUCUCAAAAAAAUAAAGAACUCCAAUUUUAUUUUCUUCAUGGCAUAGCAUAAUAGAUGAGUUAACAAAUUAAUGAAACAGAUUGACAUGUGUUAAUUGCAAUCAUAUACAGAACAGAAAUCAUUUCCAUAAAAUAUUUAACCUGCCUGUUACUUCCCCUAAAUCUCUCUGUAGCUGAUGCCCCAAUUUCACUAUUAGCUCUUCAGACUUGGAUGUUAAGCACUGUGCCUUCCCCUGGACCUCUCUUUAAAUGUCACAGCUAUUUCUGGCAGGUAAGACUAUUGCUUUGGUUAGUGUGAACACACACCACUGUGGAUCACAAGGCACCUGAGAGAAAAGGCUGCCGAAAGCAGGAAAAUAACUCAGAAAAAAGAAAAAAAAACACAUGGUGCUGAAAAAUACAACAGAUAUGCAUUUGUAUACUUAUGAUCUAAUUUAUGUCAGUCAUUAAAAGAAAAUAAGGUGUUUAGAAAAUACAGUGCUGUCUAUGGUUAUAUUUAAUAUUGUGACCACUUAAUACAAAGCAAAGCAUUCUUGCUUGCUCUCAUGGAGAGUGCAAUUUAGAAUUGAGAGCUCAAUUUCUAAGGAGGGUUUAUGUACUCUAUCUUGAGGCACACCAAGGAGAUUGAGUUUACCAGUUUAGAAAGCACUGCCAUAAUUCAAGUCAGGGAGAGGGCUGAUGGAAGAUUUUUAAAAGAUUUUAAAAGAUCAUGAGGGCAAGCUGGCUUUUAACAAAACAAAAUAUUUCCAUGUGGCUUCUGGCUGACUGAAUUAAUAAGGCCCAGAGACUGAUCUGAAGGCAAAAGCCUUUAUUUUUUAUUGCAAUGGAGAAAAACUGAACAUUAUUUGACUAUCAGUUGUGAAGUUUAGUAAAAAGAUUUUCACUAAUGGGUGGUUUUAAUAUUUAUGAAUGUGAUGGUUCAGCAAAUUUUCUCCAAUGUUUUGCAAGACCACUAAUUAAUAAUCAUCUUUACAAAUGGAACAUGUAAUUGUCUGCUACUAUUUUUUCUUUGCCAAUGCUUAAUACUUAUUUUGAAUACGUUUUAUUUUUUUUCUAAAUUUCUCUAUUUAUUUCUACCUGAGCAUUUCUUAAUUUUUUUAUUCAGUCCUGUUAUUCUCACUGUAGGAUUUUUAAAAGCUGGUAUAUUAUAUUAAAAUCCUUCAACUGUGAAUUCAGCAAUGUUUUGAGUUCCAGGGAUUCAUCUGGCAUUAGGCUGACCUUGUCAAGCAUAAACAUCAACAUUAAAGAAAAUAUUUAAGAAAUGAAAGGCCUGAAUCAAAAUAAGAGGUCAAAUUUUCCAGGGUGUUUUGUGUCUUGAAAAUCUUUCUGCUGUAAUUACCUAAAGACUGUGGUUAGAUAAUUAUUGAGGGACUUUUGCAAUUGUCCCUUUUCUCUAUAUAGAUCACCACAUUAAUUAAACGAGAGUCUCACUGGGAACAGGUUGCUGUUCUGCAUCUUUAAGUAUUUUUAGUACUUUAUUUUCAAAAGAGAAAAAGAACCACUAAGAAGAAGAUUGCUUCUCAGCCAAAUUUUCUGAUAUACAGAUAUUCUCAAAAGACAAGCACACACACACACGCACACACACACACACACACACACACACACACCCCCCAAGGCUCUGGAAUGUGCCUUAACAAUCUUAUUUUUGCACAUUUUAAAAGGAGGUCAUUAUGAAAUUUGCACAUAUUUUAUGACCUGUAAUGUACUUCUCUGAUCUGAUUUCACUUGAGCUAAUAAAAAAAUACAAAUCAGGUGCUUGCUGUGAUCAAGAUGCUAAAGUUAUAUUUACACUGCUUCAUAAAUGUAAGGUGUUAAAGCUUAGUGAGACAAGAAGUAAACUGAUAAUUGAUUAACCAGGGUGCUAUACAAAUCUACCUAGAGGGUGCCUUCCCAGGUUAAUGCAAUUAUGGGAGAAAGAUCCUGGCUCCUGGCUACAGAAAUGCCAACUAAAGUGUUAUCCACCCCAUCCUUCACUUUGGAGGAUGCGUUAAGAUGACACUGUGCUGUGUCAAAAUGAAAAUACAAACAAAAGCAAAUAAACCGAGUGAUAAUAAAUAAACCGAGUGACUCAGUUUCCUUAUCCAUUUUCCAGUUACCUUUUUUUUUUUAGGCCAGUCUGCAUGUCCACUAGAAGAAAAGGGACCUGGGUUCUUCAUCAGCCCAUCCUUAGAUCUUAGUGCACAUAUGCACCUAGUAAGUGCCGAGCAAAUAUUCAAUGAAUGACUGUACCUUUCCUAAGAAUUCUUCGUUGAUUAUCCUUCAACAGAGCUAACUUCUCUCCCUAUGUGCUCAGUCAAAUGCUCUCCCAUUGGACUGAGUUCAGCAUAAACUGCCAUGUUUUGAGAUGAUUGGUGUAAGCGAAUGUCCUCUCCUGAGUUGCGAGAAUCUAAGAGCAGGACAACAUCACAUGCUUCUCUACUUUCUAUAGUUCUUUUGUCCACUGUCUAACAAAUAAUGCCAAGUGAAAAAGGGAAAAAUGAAUGAAUAAAUUUUGUAAGAUGCCAAUGGAAAAAAACAGAAAAUCAAGAGUUACUAAAAAAAACCACUAACUCCAUUUAAUUGUUUUAGACUAAGAAUCCCUCAGUGAUACCUAGCCAAAAUUAGGAUUCAGAUCCAAAAUAAAAGAUACUGUUGCCCCAAGUAGAUAUCAUAAUUUGUUACAAUAAGUAAAAAUGUAUAUUAUUCAAUACUAAACUGUUAUACCACAUUUCAAGUUUUUAAAACUUUAUCUUCCUUUUAUGCAUAGAUAGUAGUAGAGCAUUAAGAACAUGCAUGGCUAUCACCUGAGGUGUUGAUUGUAAAUUCACAUUCCUAGGCUUUGUCUCUUAACUACUGAAUCGGAAUCUUUGGGAGUGAACUGACAGGAAUCUGAAUUUUAAAAAUAAGGUCUUCAGGUGAUUCUCAUGCAUCUAAAGAUAACUGCUUUAAUAUAUAACAAAGAAACCCAAAGAGGGACACUUGAGGAUUUUUUCAAUAUAUCUUCUUUUGCAGAGAUUAAUAGUGAAUGUUGUUUUAUCUGCUGUUUAGAAUUUUACAUAUGCAUUGGAUGAUACAUCUUCUUUUACUGACAAAAAGGCUUUUCUCUGGAGAAAAUAAAAAGGCAGCUUUCCCUGAGAGCACACACUUCUAGCAAAGCCCCAAUCCAUAUGACUCUAAGACAGAGUGAUUUCCACCUUCUAGUCCUUACUUUCUUGCAAAAGGGGCUUUCAAAUCUCAUUACUGAUGGUCCCAUCUUUUAUUACUGGUGUUAUCAAUGGGAUGCUUGCAGCAGCUUAAGUAUGUGGAUAAAGAAGGAAUGCACAAUAUACGGUACUGAAUAUUUUUAAAAAGUGGUCUUUCAGAAUGUCUGUAUGUGUGGGGGCCCAUGCUUAGGCAUAUGUGCAUGCCAGUGUGUUAUUUAUGUUGAAACCAAUGUUUUACAUUAAUGGCUGGAAUUCCAGAAAAAUAAGAAAAUAUUUGUAUUUUCUAAACCAUUAAAAGUUUAGUGGAACUCA